rnacentral:rRNA from 1 species
UACCUCAGUAACGGCGAGUGAAGCGGUAACAGCUCAAAUUUGAAAUCUGGCCUCACGGUCCGAGUUGUAAUUUGUAGAGGAUGCUUCGAGCAUGGUCUGGCCUAAGUUCCUUGGAACAGGACGUCAUAGAGGGUGAGAAUCCCGUAUGCGGCCAGGUGCCUACGCUCAUGUGAAGCUCCUUCGACGAGUCGAGUUGUUUGGGAAUGCAGCUCAAAAUGGGUGGUAAAUUUCAUCUAAAGCUAAAUAUUGGCCAGAGACCGAUAGCGCACAAGUAGAGUGAUCGAAAGAUGAAAAGCACUUUGGAAAGAGAGUUAAACAGUACGUGAAAUUGUUGAAAGGGAAGCGCUUGCAACCAGACUUGCGCGCGGCCGAUCAUCCGGUGUUCUCACCGGUGCACUCGGCCGUGCUCAGGCCAGCAUCGGUUUUGGCGGCUGGAUAAAGGCCCUAGGAAUGUAGCUCCUCUCGGGGAGUGUUAUAGCCUAGGGUGCAAUGCAGCCUGCCGGGACCGAGGACCGCGCUUCGGCUAGGAUGCUGGCGUAAUGGUUGUAAGCGGCCCGUCUUGAAACACGGACCAAGGAGUCUAACAUCUAUGCGAGUGUUUGGGUGUCAAACCCAUACGCGUAAUGAAAGUGAACGGAGGUGAGAACCCUUAAGGGUGCAUCAUCGACCGAUCCUGAUGUCUUCGGAAGGAUUUGAGUAAGAGCAUAGCUGUUGGGACCCGAAAGAUGGUGAACUAUGCCUGAAUAGGGUGAAGCCAGAGGAAACUCUGGUGGAGGCUCGCAGCGGUUCUGACGUGCAAAUCGAUCGUCAAAUUUGGGUAUAGGGGGCGAAAGACUAAUCGAACCAUUGACCUGUAGGAACACUACUAGGUGGUUAAGAGGCGGCUAAAAGUGCCGUCUAGUCCCGACGCCCGGGCGACACUGUCAAAUUGCGGGGACAUCCUUAGAGCCUAGACUACCGCAGCCCUUCCCGAAUGGGGGGGGUGCGCACCACGAUAACGACGUCGGUAUGGUUAAUAACGGUCUAGAUUGGACCAUC